rnacentral:RNase_P_RNA from 1 species
GGAGUUGGCCAGACAAUCGCCGUCCGCAAGGGGGGAGGAAAGUCCGGGCUCCACAGGGCAGGGUGCCAGGUAACGCCUGGGCGGCGCAAGCCGACGACAAGUGCAGCAGAGAGUAGACCGCCAACCCGGUUUUCCGGGAGGUAAGGGUGAAAGGGUGCGGUAAGAGCGCACCGCGCAACUGGUAACAGUUUGUGGCAAGGUAAACUCCAUCCGGAGCAAGACCAAAUAGGGUUCCAGGAAGCAUGCUUCCAGGCGUGGCCCACGCCGGAACCGGGUAGGUUGCUUGAGUCAGUGAGUGAUUGCUGACCUAGAUGAAUGAUUGUCCAAGACAGAACCCGGCUUAUCGGCCAACUCCCUCC